rnacentral:rRNA from 1 species
AUUGAACGCUGGCGGCAUGCCUUACACAUGCAAGUCGAACGGCAGCACGGAGCUUGCUCUGGUGGCGAGUGGCGAACGGGUGAGUAAUAUAUCGGAACGUACCCUAGAGUGGGGGAUAACGUAGCGAAAGUUACGCUAAUACCGCAUACGAUCUAAGGAUGAAAGUGGGGGAUCGCAAGACCUCAUGCUCGUGGAGCGGCCGAUAUCUGAUUAGCUAGUUGGUAGGGUAAAAGCCUACCAAGGCAUCGAUCAGUAGCUGGUCUGAGAGGACGACCAGCCACACUGGAACUGAGACACGGUCCAGACUCCUACGGGAGGCAGCAGUGGGGAAUUUUGGACAAUGGGCGAAAGCCUGAUCCAGCAAUGCCGCGUGAGUGAAGAAGGCCUUCGGGUUGUAAAGCUCUUUUGUCAGGGAAGAAACGGUGGGAGCUAAUAUCUCUUGCUAAUGACGGUACCUGAAGAAUAAGCACCGGCUAACUACGUGCCAGCAGCCGCGGUAAUACGUAGGGUGCAAGCGUUAAUCGGAAUUACUGGGCGUAAAGCGUGCGCAGGCGGUUUUGUAAGUCUGAUGUGAAAUCCCCGGGCUCAACCUGGGAAUUGCAUUGGAGACUGCAAGGCUAGAAUCUGGCAGAGGGGGGUAGAAUUCCACGUGUAGCAGUGAAAUGCGUAGAUAUGUGGAGGAACACCGAUGGCGAAGGCAGCCCCCUGGGUCAAGAUUGACGCUCAUGCACGAAAGCGUGGGGAGCAAACAGGAUUAGAUACCCUGGUAGUCCACGCCCUAAACGAUGUCUACUAGUUGUCGGGUCUUAAUUGACUUGGUAACGCAGCUAACGCGUGAAGUAGACCGCCUGGGGAGUACGGUCACAAGAUUAAAACUCAAAGGAAUUGACGGGGACCCGCACAAGCGGUGGAUGAUGUGGAUUAAUUCGAUGCAACGCGAAAAACCUUACCUACCCUUGACAUGGCUGGAAUCCUUGAGAGAUCAGGGAGUGCUCGAAAGAGAACCAGUACACAGGUGCUGCAUGGCUGUCGUCAGCUCGUGUCGUGAGAUGUUGGGUUAAGUCCCGCAACGAGCGCAACCCUUGUCAUUAGUUGCUACGAAAGGGCACUCUAAUGAGACUGCCGGUGACAAACCGGAGGAAGGUGGGGAUGACGUCAAGUCCUCAUGGCCCUUAUGGGUAGGGCUUCACACGUCAUACAAUGGUACAUACAGAGCGCCGCCAACCCGCGAGGUGGAGCUAAUCGCAGAAAGUGUAUCGUAGUCCGGAUUGUAGUCUGCAACUCGACUGCAUGAAGUUGGAAUCGCUAGUAAUCGCGGAUCAGCAUGUCGCGGUGAAUACGUUCCCGGGUCU